rnacentral:misc_RNA from 1 species
GAUGAAGAACGUAGCGAAAUGCGAUACUUGGUGUGAAUUGCAGAAUCCCGUGAACCAUCGAGUCUUUGAACGCAAGUUGCGCCCGAAGCCACUAGGCCGAGGGCACGCCUGCCUGGGCGUCACACGCCGUUGCCCCCCCAUCUACUCCUUCGGGAUUGCGGGGGGGCGGAUGAUGGCCUCCCGUGCGCCUAGCCGCGCGGUUGGCAUAAAUACCAAGUCCUCGGCGACGCACGCCACGACAAUCGGUGGUUGCGAAACCUCGGUUGCCCGUCGUGUGCGUUCGUCGCGCAUCGAGGGCUCGAAAAAAUGCUCGGCUCCGGCUGGGCUUUCAACGCGACCCCAGGUCAGGCGGGGUUACCCGCUGAAUUUUAGCAUAUCAAUAAGCGGAGGA